UAAAACUCCAGUUCAGGGGAGCUCAGUCAAAUGAAGACGCAAGGCAAUGAACCCUUCUAAGAGCUUUUUUUCUUCUUGGAACUAUUUAAGCAGAACAAAAUCACAGCGUGGAGGUUAAGAGCAAGAACCCCAGCACCAGGUACUUAUUGGAGAAGUGAAAAGCUUGUAUUCAAACUAUCAAAAUUCUGACCUUUCAAAAUGUUGCAAAUACUACCAUGACACCAACCUGACUUCACUGGAUGGAUGACCUUACCGAUGUGUCCUGGAACCCCACUUCCCCAGAGCCCUGCUCCUCUAUGGAAAGACAGAAACAGACUGGGAGUAUGGAUUGACAUUUC